CAGCCGCCGCGGUAAGACAGAGGAUGCAAGCGUUAUCCGGAAUGAUUGGGCGUAAAGCGUCUGUAGGUGGCUUUUCAAGUCCGCCGUCAAAUCCCAGGGCUCAACCCUGGACAGGCGGUGGAAACUACCAAGCUGGAGUACGGUAGGGGCAGAGAGAAUUUCCGGUGGAGCGGUGAAAUGCGUAGAGAUGUGGAGGAACACCAGUGGCGAAGGCGACUCUCUGGUCUGUAACUGACGCUGAGGAGCGAAAGCGUGGGGAGCGAACAGGAUUAGAUACCCCAGUAGUCCCUGUCUCUUAUAC
rnacentral:rRNA from 1 species